CGAUACACACAAGAAGUCUGCUUUUACUGUUGAUCUUGGGUGCCAUGAUAAUGGACAAAAACUUGUUUCCAUGCCUUAGCCGUCCUUAACAAGAUGGACUUGUGAAUGAGCAUUGAUCCAAAAAUAGUGUGAACACAUUGUGAAAUAAAUAACCACCGAAUUCAGUUUUGCUCCCAUUGCCUUUUUAAAAACAUACGCUAGCGUGCGUGCAUGCUAGCAGCUAUUUUGGAAGCUAGCAUGCAUUUUACCAGGCCUCCGUACAAUAAUGCAGUGUGUCUUGUGUAUGAAUUAAAUACAGAAAGCGCACCCAUAUCUGACACCGCGCCUUUUAAGACAGUGCACCGUAUGGUCGUGAAAAUACGG